rnacentral:rRNA from 1 species
GACGAACGCUGGCGGCGUGCUUAACACAUGCAAGUCGAACGGACAGGCCCUGCUUUUGUGGGGUGCUCGAGUGGCGAACGGGUGAGUAACACGUGAGUAACCUGCCCUUGUCUUUGGGAUAACUUCAGGAAACUGGGGCUAAUACCGGAUAGGAGCUACUGCUGCAUGGUGGGGGUUGGAAAGUGUCGGCGGUUGGGGCUGGAAUCGCGGCUUAUGAGCUUGUUUGUGGGGUUGUGGCUUUCCAAGGCUUUGACGGGUAGGCGGCCUGAGAGGGUGACCGGCCACAAUGGGACUGAGAUACGGCCCAGACGCCUACGGGAGGCAGCGGUGGGGAAUAUGGCACAGUGGGCGGAAGCCUGAUACAGCGACGCCGCGUGCGGGAUGACGGCUUUCGGGUUGUAAACCGCUGUCGCCUGUGACGAAGCGGGAGUGACGGUAAUGGGUAAAGAAGCACCGGCUAACUACGUG